rnacentral:rRNA from 1 species
CCUGCCUGUGAUAAUUAUUUAACGGCCGCGGUAUUUUGACCGUGCAAAGGUAGCGCAAUCACUUGUCUUUUAAAUGAAGACCUGUAUGAAUGGCUUGACGAGGGCUUAACUGUCUCCUUUUUCCAGUCAAUGAAAUUGAUCUUCCCGUGCAGAAGCGGGGAUAUAACCAUAAGACGAGAAGACCCUAUGGAGCUUUAAACUAAAGCAGAUCUUGUUAAACGCAUCUAAUUAAAGAAAUAAACUUAAAAGAACCCUGUCAUUUAUGUUUUUGGUUGGGGCGACCAUGGGGAAACAAACAACCCCCAUGUGGACUGAGAAAACAGUUCUCACAACAAAGAGCCACAGCUCUAAUUAACAGAACUUCUGACCUUNGAGAUCCGGCAAUGCCGAUCAACGGACCCAGUUACCCUAGGGAUAACAGCGCAAUCCCCUUUUAGAGUUCAUAUCGACAAGGGGGUUUACGACCUCGAUGUUGGAUCAGGACAUCCUAAUGGUGCAGCAGCUAUUAAGGG